rnacentral:SRP_RNA from 2 species
UGAGGCCCCCCAUGCGGUGGCAUCUCGGCGAACUCCCCCAGGUCGGAAACGAAGCAAGGGUAGUCGGGCUCUGCCAGGUGCAUGGGGGGUCUUUCUC